CCAAACUUUGCUCAUUGCAACCGGUUCUACUUACGUAAAAUUGUCAGAACUUGGGAUCCCAGAAGCAGAUGUUAAGAAUAUAUUAUACCUAAGAGAGAUCGAUGAUAAUGAUGAGCUUUCGUUAGCUAUGGAACUAUAUGUGCAAAACGGACAGGCCGUGGUUAUUGGCGGCGGUUUCUUAGGUCUUGAGCUGAGUUCUUGUCUAAAGGCUAAUAACCAUGAAGUCACCAUGGUUUUUCCAGAACCUUGGAUUCUGAACCGGUUUUUCA